AUAAUAAUUUAAAGGACUACAAAUAAUUGUGGCCGAUGUGUUUUUUUUUUUCUUAAAUAAAAGAUCAGAAGAAUAAAUAAUACAGAUUGAUUUUCACAAUCCUCUUUGAUCAUAUUUUUUUAGGGUGCCAAUUUAAUUCUGACCAUGACUCUCUCUAAAACAGCUGCUUUAUGUAUAAUAAUAAUAAUAAUAAUAAUGUUUCAAACCUGACAACAACAGCUGAUUGCAAUAGUUUAUGCAAGAAUUCAUUACAAAGAGAUUCCUAGGCAUUCCUUUUUUUUCUUGUUGGACACUGAUGUGUUCAGUUUACUUUGCUUUAAAAAAUAUAUCUUCCUCAGUUACAUUUUUUUUUUUCACUGCUAUUGUUUCCUUGGAUUUCCUUCUCAGUUCCAUACAAAUUUAAGCUUUACUUGGUUCUUUUCAUGCUUUAUAGCAGGGGUCGGCAACCUACGGCAUGCAUGCCAACAGUGGCACGCAGAGGGAUAAUCGCUGGCACGCGAGCAAUAGGGAAAACUGCAUACUGAUUUGGAGGUAAUAACUUAUCAUAGUCACACAGCCUGUUAGGAGCUAUAAAUACUAUUAAAGUGUGAGAAUUAAGUAAGUUAACUUAAAUUAACUUGUGCUAGUCUACGGAUCGCUGCACAGGCGCUUCAGAUCAAAGCCUCAGUGGUCUAACAGCACUCGUCAAUGUCAAAAUGACAGAUGGCCAAUCAAAUCAAAGUAGGCGGGGUUUACUGUUCACAGAAGCAGCCAGAGCGCGAAACGUCAGUUUAACGUAAAAGAGAGCGAGCUCUAUAUGAGCCCACAGGUAACAGAUGUCACACGGGAGUUGUCGACUUUAUGAGGCCUCGGAGAGCAUGUGUCAGACCUUCACAGUGAGCAACGAGCGAGAGAGUCUCAGUCAGAAAGUCCAACUCCAUGAGCUACCAUGACAGAUUUCAAAUAAAAAAAUUCAGGGGGUUCCUGCACCAGCCAGACUGUGUCAUUGAGUGGUGGGAAACGCAUGACAGGUGUGCAGUGAGAGAUGGUUCCAUGCCGUCGCCGCUUCCCCUGGGCGUGACCGCGGUCAGACUGCUGUUCCAGCCCGAUGGGUUCAGGUACCCAUGUGGCCAAGAGAAGAAAAUACGAGAAAAAGAGACGAUUAACAUGAGACUGCUUUGACACUGCUAAUUUAGGAAAAACUGUGAGUGAUUUUGUUGUAAAAAGAAGAAAUGAUAUAAGGGAGAAAAAGAGAAGAUGAAUUUAAGUCAUUUUACUUUUAUUAGCCCCUUUACAGCCCCUUUACUUGUGUUUUUUUCUAUCAAGACAACUCUUGGAAGCUUUUAGCAUGGUAAUGUAUAUGCCAAUGUUAAUAUAUUUGUUCUUGCCAGAAUAGGUCUUCUGUGCUGCUGGAUUUCACAUUGAUCUCGCUCUAAUCCCUCCAAAAGCCCAUUUCCCACUGAUCGUAUCGCUGCGGUCCGGUCCGCACUGACAUUUCUCUUAUUUCAGGCUCUUCGUGGUUG
ensembl:lncRNA